GAGAAACCCUGUCUUGAGAGAAAAAAAGAAAAAGAAAAAAAACAGUGGAAAAAAGGAUAAAUACAGCGCUGGGAUUACAGGCAUGCACCACCACCAACCGUCCAGAUUUUUUUUUUUUCAUGACACGAGACACACUCAGACAGACAUACCAGAAUUCCACUCUCAGGAGUCAUCAGAGCCACUAAAACAGAAAGUAAGGUGGUGGGUGCCAGGGGCUGGGGGUUGUGAUCCGCAUUAGUAUCAGAUGCAGACUUCCUGUGGGAGGGUAGGAGGGCGGGGACCACAGCCCGGCCCUGUGAAUGUGUGCCAGGCCAUUGGUGAAAAUGAGGGUUAAGUGUAUUUAUACAAUUGUAAAUAAGUGAGUGAAUGGAGCGAUGAGAGGGCAUAGAGAACCAGGUGUGAUUUCAGAUCCAAAGGCUGUGUAUCAUAUGUAGCUCAGGAGCUGCAGGUGACCCCCAUGGCCGGUCACUGUACAGGAAACAGUAAGCUGUCCUCAAAGACAGCCUGUGACACUGGGGAGACUGCUGCUCAGCCAAGGCAGGAGAAAAAUGGGGAACCAUGGAAUGUGCCUGGCAGGCAAAGCUCUAGGCUGUGUUUCUCCGUCUGACAAUAUUUAUCUCUGGUACUUCUCAGCACUUCCCCAGAUAUCUUGCCGUCUGAGAAUAGGGUUAACUUGAUGUGUUUCAUCUCCAACCCCCACUAGACUAGAAGUCAAGACCUAGUGUCCCCAGGUACCCAGCAUGACAACCCACAGUGUCCAUCUGUUCAUUGAACCAGUGACUACAAAAGAAUGAAUUCUUCCCACAUUUGCUGUGGUUGUACAACUACAGUUGGUGCUGAAUAACCAGAGCAAGGUAACACCUUCCUUCUGUCUGGCCUUGAACUCACAUCCACCCUGCCUGGCCUCCUGAGUGGGCAAGAUGACAGACCUGUGGGGAAGAGAUUGGAAUCCAGGGAUUUGUGCAGACCAGGCUGGCACUCACCACUCACCCAUGCCCCUAGGCGUGGAGACUCCAGGGGAGAGUCUCAGCAAGGGCAAGGGAUAUGGAGAAUGUACCAGGAAGCCCUGCCAGUAGAUCCUUAGUUGCUUACCAAAGAGAAAUAAAAACACACUGCUACCCAAGAACUUAAA